CUCCUUCUAUCAUGCAUCUUUGUUCCUUUUUGAUGGUACUAGAGAGCUUUGGUCCUUAUCUUUCUUUUCUUUUCUCAUUCGUUUUUUUUUUUUGAAGAAGUUCAUCUUUCCAUUUAUUUUUCACAAAUUAUUUUUUUGAAAUUUUGGACCAUAUCCUCUAGUACCCCAACCCCAAACUUAAAACUUUGCUCACUUUCAAGAGUAACC
rnacentral:lncRNA from 1 species